CUACGGGCUGCUGCAGUGGGGGAUAUUGCACAAUGGGCGAAAGCCUGAUGCAGCAACGCCGCGUGAAGGAUGACGGAUUUCGGUCUGUAAACUUCUAUCAGCAGGGAAGAAAAUGACGGUACCUGACUAAGAAGCCCCGGCUAACUACGUGCCAGCAGCCGCGGUAAUACGUAGGGGGCAAGCGUUAUCCGGAAUUACUGGGUGUAAAGGGUACGUAGGCGGCUGAUCAAGUCAGAUGUGAAAGCCCGGAGCUCAACUCCGGGAUUGCAUUUGAAACUGGUCGGCUAGAGUGCAGGAGGGGAAAGUGGAAUUCCUAGUGUAGCGGUGAAAUGCGUAGAUAUUAGGAAGAACACCAGUGGCGAAGGCGGCUUUCUGGACUGUAACUGACGCUGAGGUACGAAAGCGUGGGGAGCGAACAGGAUUAGAUACCCUCGUAGUC
rnacentral:rRNA from 1 species